UCGGCAGAGCCGCGCCGCUUUCUGGCGGCGUUUCUUCUCUGCUUUGUUCGCCAUAUUGAAGUCUUUUGGUUUGUGUGUGCGCGCGACAAAAUCUGUAAUGGCGCUAAGCAGCAGGGACUUGUGGGGUGUGCUGCGCGGCAGCAGCAGUGAACAUUUUUGCGACUGUCGGCGGUACAUCGUUUUCUAUUCGUCGGACGACUCAGCAGAGAACGCAAGCCGUUGCGACUAUUGCAACCACUGUCCAGGUGCCCAUGGCAGAAUUAUGGACUUGGAGCAAAAUACUGGAAUGGCCGAAGUACCCCAGCAGAGCCCACAGCCUGGUUGCCCGAAAGAUUAGUGGUCUGAACACAAAUGCAAAUUUUUUUAAAGUUUUUUUUUUUCUUAAAGCUCUGCGCCUUACUCGCCGAUCACUUUGCAUGUUUAGUGGUGCAGGUGUUUAGUGAUUUCUGAACGUAAACGCACCAUAGACACAGAAUGUUUGUUUUUAGAGUUUUUCAUUCGCUGUAACUAUGUGUAGGACAUUCGUACACAUGGGUCACCAGGUGCUAUUCAAGAAUGCUCGGUGCGUAACAAGUGAAUGUUUGCCUCAGUAUUUUUAGUUGGAAAUCAUUGUGAGUGCAUGUCUAUGUCUCAGUGCUAGAAGAGCAGAGAAACACAGCCUUGUCUAAUUCUCUACUGUAGGGAAUGCAAGGUCACUGAUAUAUAAAAUUAUCAACAGUGGAAAAAAUACUUACCAUCAGGUCAACUGUUAGUGAAGUGAUUGAAAUUAAAAUUUCUAUUGCUUUCAACCCUGAUGGCACGAGGGGUAUCAAAAGUUUGAUUGUGCAUUUAUUGUUAUUGACAACUUUCGCUUCAUCAUACCUCCUUUUUCCAGCUCUGCAUCGAAGUCGAACUGCAUCGAAGUUUAAAUGCAAGAUUGGUGACCUGAAGGAAACACUAAAAGCAGUAGCAGAAGCGUUCUCAUGCAAAGCGCUACGUGAGUGCACAUUCAUCGACAUUGGCAAGCAUCUCCAAGGCCAUUUAAAGCACGCAAUCAUUAACGAGGUUUGUGGGACAAUUUUGCAUGUAUCUAUCAGUUGCUGUGGCAACACCUGCUUUGUCACGAUUUAAAAUUAAUUUUCAGUUAAUAUAUGAAUGUUCUGAAAGUCAUGUGGCAUUUUCUAUGACUUUAUUUCACACUGGAGAGCAUUCUUGUCGUGGUUUUUUCAUAGAUGUUUGCUCAUGCCUCUAAUGUGACAUUCUACAGACUACUCUGCCUAGUGAGCUGCAAAUCAUGGCACUUCAUGUGUAUGUCGCCUUUGCACACACUUCUGUUUAUGCUGGAAGUGCUGAUGAAGUUAUAUGGAUCACAAGUGGAAACGUAUAGCGGGCCCUCAUAUUUUUUGCCUGCUUGUCUACUACAACAAAACCUUGCGUACCCGCCUGCAUUCUCACCGAUGCUUGUGCUGCUGCAAAAAAUUGCCCUGCUGGACACAACAGUGCCUCGUGGACUGCUCAGAAACGGCCUGAAGAAACUUCUCAUACUCUUGAAAAAGAAGAAUUUGUGUUAAGUUCAAGAAACAAAUGUGCUAAGACAGCGUACGCCCCAAGAUGCUGAAGUAUGUUCUCAACGGAUGGCUUCAGUCUUUUUCUGAACUUUAGUGUAUUUCUUUCAUUUGUUGCAUUCAAUGUUCUCAAACUUGGAAUACUACUUGAGUUACAAGUUGAUCUCAUCUUUGCUCGAAGUGAUACGAGAUGAUAGAUUUUACUAUGGUAUUUAAGCUGCAGGUAAAUGUUGGUAUACUCAUGGCGAUUCGUGCUGUAUUUCCUAAACUGAUGCUCUAAAAACUGAAGGCGCAUGCGCCUGACAUACAUAUAGGUAAGCAUAGGUGUUUAAAAUCGUGGCCCUCUCAUUUAUUUUGUAUUUGGCUACAAGCUUUGAUGGUCUUUGUGUUUUCUGUGCUUAUAGUACCAGUACCAUUUUUGAGCUUUCAACCUGUGGCUGCUUUAAUGGCUCCUCAGAAAUGUGAUAAAGUCUAUAGUCACAAUAAUACAUUGCCUCUUUUUAUACCAGUUGUAUGUUUACUGCGGCUUACAUAAAGAAGUCAAGCUGAAUUAAUACCUUAUUUUAAAGCAUGGCUUUUUAUUGUGUGCAUAUUUUGGAAUCAUGACAGCAGUGUCUACUUUUAUUUAUAUUGUUAUGGGAGCAAUCUGUUGUGGGCUUUUUGGAAAUUGUGAUUUCAUGUGAGAACUUUGCUUUAUUGCACGGCGCCUUCAUCCUGGUUCCUCUUUGCGCAUUGCAAAGAGUGAUAUAAUAUAAGCUAAGACUUAUAGUGCAUCAUAUGCAGCCCUUAUUGUGAUAGAUAUUUGCUCUUAUCUGUUCACUACAUAGGAAAACUAUUUUACAGAUAUAGUGCCUUGACCAUAUAUGCAUCACCUUAUAACGUAGCUUUUUUUAAUAUAGCCUAGACUCAGGAAGUCAGGCUGCAUUGUGUAAUAGUAAGCGUCGUUGUGGGAGGUAUGCGUUGGUAUUGUGGUUAAGGUACAUUGUGUAUUUAUGUCUGUCAUCAGUGAUAAUAAAGGCGGUGAGCAUUUUUGAA